rnacentral:rRNA from 1 species
CCUACGGGUGGCAGCAGUGAGGAAUAUUGGUCAAUGGCCACAGGGCUGAACCAGCCAAGUCGCGUGAGGGAUGACGGUCCUAUGGAUUGUAAACCUCUUUUGUCAGGGAGCAAAGGGAGCCACGUGUGGCGUUUUGCGAGUACCUGAAGAAAAAGGAUCGGCUAACUCCGUGCCAGCAGCCGCGGUAAUACGGAGGAUGCGAGCGUUAUCCGGAUUUAUUGGGGUAAAAGGGUGCGAAGGUGGAAUGUAAAGUCAGGGGUAAAAGUUCGGGGCUCAACCCCGGAGGGCCGUUGAAACUGGGGGUCUUGAGUGAGCGAGAAGUAGGCGGAAUGCGUGGUGUAGCGGUGAAAUGCAUAGAUAUCACGCAGAACUCCGAUUGCGAAGGCAGCUUCCCGGCGCUCAACUGACGCUCAUGCACGAAAGCGUGGGUAGCGAACAGGAUUAGAUACCCUAGUAGUC